rnacentral:rRNA from 1 species
GGUCAAGCUACGAAGGGCUCACGGUGGAUACCUUGGCACACAGAGGCGAUGAAGGACGUGGUUACCUGCGAUAAGUCUCGGGGAGCUGGAAACACGCUUUGAUCCGGGAAUUUCCGAAUGGGGCAACCCCUAGUACGGUCUGCUGAAUCCAUAGGCAGACACGAGCCGACCCAGCGAACUGAAACAUCUUAGUAGCUGGAGGAAAGGAAAGUAAAAACGACUCCCUC